UUUUUCCUUCUCAUCUUCUCUUGCAAUUUAUCAGAUGAUUUUUUUGCUGGUAAAUUUUUUACAUCUUGUGAAUAAAGGCCAAAAGAGCGAUGAGACCAUGGUAGAGACACCUGUCUAUUUUUCUCAAACCAGUCAUCAACAUACAACUAGUCUUAUUUACAGACAAAUAAUUGUUUGAAUUGGAUACAACUAAUGUGUUGUAAUUGCUGCCCAAGUUCUUUUCUGGCUUGCAAGUUAGGCUGCCUUCUCUCUAUCUCUUUGCAUCACUUGGAUACCAGUAGCAAUGUAGCAUAGAUCGUGUAAAAGUUGAUAGACUAAACAUAAGAGUGG
rnacentral:misc_RNA from 1 species